CCUACGGGUGGCAGCAGUGGGGGAUAUUGCACAAUGGGCGCAAGCCUGAUGCAGCGACGCCGCGUGAGCGAAGCAGUAUUUCGGUAUGUAAAGCUCUAUCUGCAGGGAAGUAACUGACGGUCCCUGACCAAGAAGCUAUGGCUAACUCCGUGCCAGCAGCCGCGGGACUACGUAUGCAGCAAGCGUUAUCCGGAUUUACUGGGGGUAAAGGGAGUGUAGUCGGGCCUGUAAGUCUGAUGUGAAAAUUUGGGGCUCAAUCUCAAACUUGCAUUGGAAACUGCAGGGCUUGAGUACCGGAGAGGCAGGCGGAAUUACUGGUGUAGCGGUGAAAUGCGUAGAUAUUAGGAAGAACGCCGGUUGCGAAGGCGGCCUGCUGGACGGUAACUGACGCUGAGGCUCGAAAGCGUGGGGAGCAAACAGGAUUAGAUACCCGUGUAGUC
rnacentral:rRNA from 1 species